rnacentral:rRNA from 1 species
UACGUAGGUGGCGAGCGUUGUCCGGAAUUACUGGGUGUAAAGGGCGUGUAGGCGGGAAUGCAAGUUGGAUGUGAAAUUCCGGGGCUUAACCUCGGCGCUGCAUCCGAAACUGCAUUUCUUGAGUGCUGGAGAGGAAAGCGGAAUUCCUAGUGUAGCGGUGAAAUGCGUAGAUAUUAGGAGGAACACCAGUGGCGAAGGCGGCUUUCUGGACAGUAACUGACGCUGAGGCGAGAAAGCGUGGGGAGCAAACAGG